rnacentral:rRNA from 1 species
GACGAACGCUGGCGGCGUGCUUAACACAUGCAAGUCGAACGGUAAGGCCCUGCUUUUGUGGGGUGCACGAGUGGCGAACGGGUGAGUAACACGUGAGUAACCUGCCCUUGACUUCGGGAUAACUUUAGGAAACUGGGGCUAAUACCGGAUAGGAGCUCCUGCUGCAUGGUGGGGGUUGGAAAGUUUCGGCGGUUGGGGAUGGACUCGCGGCUUAUCAGUUUGUUGGUGGGGUAGUGGCUUACCAUCGCUUUGACGGGUAGCCGGCCUGAGAGGGUGACCGGCCACAUUGGGACUGAGAUACGGCCCAGACUCCUACGGGAGGCAGCAGUGGGGAAUAUUGCACAAUGGGCGGAAGCCUGAUGCAGCGACGCCGCGUGCGGGAUGACGGCCUUCGGGUUGUAAACCGCUUUCGCCUGUGACGAAGCGUGUGUGACGGUAAUGGGUAAAGAAGCACCGGCUAACUACGUG